GAUGAACGCUGGCGGCGUGCCUAACACAUGCAAGUCGAACGGAGUCCAGCCUUUAAGACCUUCGGGUCAAAGAGGGGAAGACUGAGUGGCGGACGGGUGAGUAGCACGUGGGCAACCUGGCUCAUAGAGGGGGAUAACAGAGAGAAAUUUCUGCUAAUACCGCAUAAGCACACACUGCCGCAUGGCAGAGGGUGAAAAGAGAAUCGCUAUGAGAUGGACCCGCGUCUGAUUAGCCAGUUGGCAGGGUAAGAGCCUACCAAAGCGACGAUCAGUAGCCGAUCUGAGAGGAUGAACGGCCACAUUGGGACUGAGACACGGCCCAAACUCCUACGGGAGGCAGCAGUGGGGGAUAUUGCACAAUGGGGGGAACCCUGAUGCAGCGACGCCGCGUGAGUGAAGAAGUAUUUCGGUAUGUAAAGCUCUAUCAGCAGGGAAGAUAAUGACAGUACCUGAAUAAGAAGCCCCGGCUAACUACGUG
rnacentral:rRNA from 1 species